UACGUAGGGUGCAAGCGUUAAUCGGAAUUACUGGGCGUAAAGCGUGCGCAGGCGGUUAUGUAAGACAGAUGUGAAAUGCCCGGGCUUAACCUGGGAACUGCAUUGGUGACUGCAUCGCUCGAGUAUGGCAGAGGGGGGUAGAAUUCCACGUGUAGCAGUGAAAUGCGUAGAGAUGUGGAGGAAUACCGAUGGCGAAGGCAGCCCCCUGGGUCAAUACUGACGCUCAUGCACGAAAGCGUGGGGAGCAAACAGG
rnacentral:rRNA from 1 species